rnacentral:rRNA from 1 species
UACGUAGGGGGCAAGCGUUAUCCGGAUUUACUGGGUGUAAAGGGAGCGUAGACGGCGGUGCAAGCCAGAUGUGAAAGCCCGGGGCUCAACCCCGGGACUGCAUUUGGAACUGUAGUUCUUGAGUGAUGGAGAGGCAGGCGGAAUUCCGUGUGUAGCGGUGAAAUGCGUAGAUAUACGGAGGAACACCAGUGGCGAAGGCGGCUUACUGGACUGUAACUGACGUUGAGGCUCGAAAGCGUGGGGAGCAAACAGG